rnacentral:rRNA from 1 species
GACUCUAAGCGGUUCAUCACUCGGCUUUCGGGUCGAUGAAGAACGCAGCCAGCUGCGGGACUUGGUGUGAAUUGCAGGACACACUGAUCACAUACAGUGGUAGCAAAUGCACGAGUGGUG